GAGAAAGAUGGCAUGGUGCUUCAGUUCAGUGUAGAAGAUUCUUUCCUGCGAGAUCUUGGACCGAAAGAGAAAUCCGUGAUACUGAUACAGUAGUGACAGGUAUAAAGAAGGGACCGACUAAACAUUUGCUUACGGUUACCUUCAUACAAGGAAAAGACAAGUGUGUAGAUGCCAGAAAUUUCAGAGCCAAAGAUGAGUGCAAUGAAUCGUUCCUUCCCCUAGAGACAAGGGCAACCUUUAUUGAGAAGUUUGAAGAGAAAGUGACAGAAUUGGCGAACAAUAGCAACAACACUAGCAGUGAAUCUGGGUCCUCGGCGGCCAGUGACACAGUGCAUGACUGCUACAAAUGGUUCCGAUGAACGCACUGACAGCUUGAAAGAGGAGAUUGACAUAUUGAAGGAAGAGAACAAGAAUAAAUAUGCCAUUGUGAAAAAGUUGCAAGAAGAAAAUCAGCAAUUAAAGGUAAUAAAAGUGUUGAUAUUGUAGUUUAUGAGAGUCUUACAUGCUGGCCUAGUAAAUCUAGCUAGUCUAAAUUGUGGAAAGAAUACAUAGUACUUUGAAAAGUAUUAAAGGUAUUUGCUUAACACUUCACUUUAUCAUAGAGGCCAUGAGAGGAAAUGAAGUUUUAAAGAACCAUUAGUCUACUUUACCUAGUUUUUGAAGUAUCCCCCACAUUCACAUUGAAAACUACAACAUCUUACGAAAAGACAGAAACAGGAAUGGUGGAGGUGUCUGUAUCUACAUAAGGAGUGAUUUAGCUUUUAAUCCACGGAAAGAUCUUUUACAUGAUGAACCUGAAGCAAUCUGGUGUGAACUUUUACUACCGAAGACGAAACCCAUCAUUUUUGGCGUUAUCUACCGUCCUCCAAAACUGUCGAACUUUUAUAAUAUUUUAGAAUAAGUAUGUUUGAAUACAUCACAUUUUACUUCAUUUGAAACAGUGAUUUUAGGAGACUUCAACACUGAUGUGUCUAAAAAUAACAAAAAGUGUACUUUAUCAUCUACUUUGAGAACUUUUAUUGACAUGUUUCAUUUUAAACAGUUAAUUGUUGAUUUUACAAGGAUUGGUAAAUUGUCAUCUACUAUAAUUGAUCUCAUUCUAGUGUCUGACAUUGACAAGAUUAUACAGUCUGGUGUGAUAAAUACAUGUAUAAGUGAUCAUCAAAUGACAUAUUGUACAAGAUAAGUUAGUAAAAGUUUUAUAGGUGUGCAUAAUAAUGUUAAAGUAAGAUCCAAGAAAAAUUAUAAAAGAGAAGAUUUUCAGAAUAUGUUAUUGAAUGAAGACUGGAGCUGUGUUAUUUUGUGUGAUAAUGUUUCUUUUGCUUGGGAAUCAUUCAAAUCUAUAUUUUUAACAGCUGUAAAUAACGUAGCACCUGUCAAACAGGUUAGAAUAAAACAACGCACUGAGCCCUGGAUUACCCAAGAAAUUCUACAAAGUAUAAAUGAACGAGAUAAGUCGUUCCAUGUGUAUAAAAAGGACAGGUCAGAUGUUAGUUUGGAAAACUUUAAGCAGCUCAGAAAUAAAACUCAAUACUUAAUUCAUAAGGCAAAACAGAUUUUUUUUAAAGAUAAAAUAGAAGAAAACAAGUCUGAUUCUAAGUCUCUUCGGGAUGCACUCAAGAACCUUGGUCUGCCAUUUAAGAAGUCUAAUACAUCAUCUCGUUCUAACAUUGGUCUUCAAAUGGAUGACGAUAAUAAUGAGAUAUGUUUUAAUAAGCAAAAAGUUUCUGAGAAAUUCAAUGUUUUUUACACAACAGUUGCUUCUAAAUUGGUAGAUAAAUUGCCUAGGUCCCUCAAAAGAUAUGGAAGGAAUUUUGUUGUUUCUUUUUACUCACAAA
rnacentral:lncRNA from 1 species